AUCCUUUUGUAGUUCAUAAACAGGAUGAAAGGGUUUUCACAUUUAUUAUGAGAUGUGCUUCCCUCCAACCUUGUUAUGAGUUUGAUGCAUUAUCCAUCUGAUG
rnacentral:snoRNA from 1 species